GCAGUAGUUCAGUGGUAGAGCAUCUGGUUGGCAUGCAGAUCAUCCUAGGUUCAAUCCCUGACAUCUGAA